CCUACGGGAGGCUGCAGUGGGGAAUAUUGGACAAUGGGCGAAAGCCUGAUCCAGCCAUGCCGCGUGUGUGAAGAAGGCCUUCGGGUUGUAAAGCACUUUCAGUGGGGAAGAAAGCCUUGGGGCUAAUACCCUCGAGGAAGGACAUCACCCACAGAAGAAGCACCGGCUAACUCCGUGCCAGCAGCCGCGGUAAUACGGAGGGUGCGAGCGUUAAUCGGAAUUACUGGGCGUAAAGCGCGCGUAGGCGGUCUGAUAAGCCGGUUGUGAAAGCCCCGGGCUCAACCUGGGAACGGCAUCCGGAACUGUCAGGCUAGAGUGCAGGAGAGGAAGGUAGAAUUCCCGGUGUAGCGGUGAAAUGCGUAGAGAUCGGGAGGAAUACCAGUGGCGAAGGUGGCCUUCUGGACUGACACUGACGCUGAGGUGCGAAAGCGUGGGUAGCAAACAGGAUUAGAUACCCUGGUAGUC
rnacentral:rRNA from 1 species